rnacentral:lncRNA from 1 species
UGAUAUGCUAUUAAUGAAUGUGUCCCUUAAGAAAGAAGGAAAAUACAAUAGUCUAGUGUGAGAAUAGUAUCCUCUAAAAGAGUAAAUAUAUUAUGGUUCCUAGUUGUAUACUAGCGGGUAGUGCGCGGCGGCACGCCGCGUCACAUGGAGUGGUAAGCUAUUUAGUUUUGUUUGUAAUCUCUACAUCAUGCUUUGCGAUCUUUGAGCGGCACCCGAGGCGCUUCAAUUUGCUUUGACCGAAACUCUAAAGCUCAAUCCACAAGGCUUCAUCAUCUUGUACCUUUUUUUCUAAAGAUUUAAAUAAACAAAGAAGGCAUGAUGCAAAGUGGACACUAAAUUACCAUGUUGAAAUUGCUAUUUUAUUCGGUAUGAAAGCACCUAAAAUUUAACAAAUCUAACUCCUUGGCUGUCAGGGCCAAGAUGAUGAUCUGAUAUCACCACACUAACAAAUAGAAAAUGUCCACAUUACCAAGAGGGAUAUAAGAUAAAUUUAGAACCGACUCCUCUGUUAUCCCCUAAACGUUCAGAUUUUUUUGUAUUGCCAAGCAAUUGUUCAACAGAGAGACAACAAUACAGUUUUCUUGUAUAUAUGACACAUUGAUUUGAUAGCUGUAUGGGAAUAUUCAUAAAGUGUGCAAUAUUAUCCUACUCCCUCCGUCCCAAAAUUCUUGUCUUAGAUUUGUCUAGAUAUGAAUGUAUCUAGUCACGUUUUAAUAUUUAAAUACAUCUAUUUUUAAAUAAAUGUAAGACAAGAAAUUUGGGACGGAGGGAGUAUUAGAGAAGCAAUCGCAUGCCUUCGAAGUAAUGCUGAUAGCUCCUUCGAUUAAACCCUCCUUACAAUGAUUUUUUGCCAUGAGGGCAAAUUAAUUAGAAGUCACAUGUGGACAAAGCUGGUAGGAUCAGAUCACAACAUCCCAACAAUCGACAUUAUAACAAAAAAGAACACAUUCAUAUAGCUACUAGUUCAUAUAGCUACUAAAAUAAUGUGGGUUGACAAAACAUAUGUCAAACACAUCAUCCCAAGAUGAUUCUGGUUGUAUAAUUUUUGUAUGUAAGUGUCAAAAACUGAAAUUAGCUCUUACCGACUUCUUGUGUAUUCCUAGUUGUGAUCACUUCAAACUCCUCCAUGUUUCCAUAGCCGCAUGUCAAA